UGAGCCUGAGCUAAGUCAGUCGUAGCAAGGUUGAUUUCGUUGUGACGAGCGGCGGACGGGUGAGUAAUGUCUGGGAAACUGCCUGAUGGAGGGGGAUAACUACUGGAAACGGUAGCUAAUACCGCAUAACGUCGCAAGACCAAAGUGGGGGACCUUCGGGCCUCAUGCCAUCAGAUGUGCCCAGAUGGGAUUAGCUGGUAGGUGGGGUAACGGCUCACCUAGGCGACGAUCCCUAGCUGGUCUGAGAGGAUGACCAGCCACACUGGAACUGAGACACGGUCCAGACUCCUACGGGAGGCAGCAGUGGGGAAUAUUGCACAAUGGGCGCAAGCCUGAUGCAGCCAUGCCGCGUGUGUGAAGAAGGCCUUCGGGUUGUAAAGCACUUUCAGCGGGGAGGAAGGCGGUGAGGUUAAUAACCUCACCGAUUGACGUUACCCGCAGAAGAAGCACCGGCUAACUCCGUGCCAGCAGCCGCGGUAAUACGGAGGGUGCAAGCGUUAAUCGGAAUUACUGGGCGUAAAGCGCACGCAGGCGGUCUGUCAAGUCGGAUGUGAAAUCCCCGGGCUCAACCUGGGAACUGCAUUCGAAACUGGCAGGCUAGAGUCUUGUAGAGGGGGGUAGAAUUCCAGGUGUAGCGGUGAAAUGCGUAGAGAUCUGGAGGAAUACCGGUGGCGAAGGCGGCCCCCUGGACAAAGACUGACGCUCAGGUGCGAAAGCGUGGGGAGCAAACAGGAUUAGAUACACCCUGGUAGUCCACGCUGUAAACGAUGUCGAUUUGGAGGUUGUGCCCUUGAGGCGUGGCUUCCGGAGCUAACGCGUUAAAUCGACCGCCUGGGGAGUACGGCCGCAAGGUUAAAACUCAAAUGAAUUGACGGGGGCCCGCACAAGCGGUGGAGCAUGUGGUUUAAUUCGAUGCAACGCGAAGAACCUUACCUGGUCUUGACAUCCACAGAACUUACCAGAGAUGGAUUGGUGCCUUCGGGAACUGUGAGACAGGUGCUGCAUGGCUGUCGUCAGCUCGUGUUGUGAAAUGUUGGGUUAAGUCCCGCAACGAGCGCAACCCUUAUCCUUUGUUGCCAGCGGUUAGGCCGGGAACUCAAAGGAGACUGCCAGUGAUAAACUGGAGGAAGGUGGGGAUGACGUCAAGUCAUCAUGGCCCUUACGACCAGGGCUACACACGUGCUACAAUGGCAUAUACAAAGAGAAGCGACCUCGCGAGAGCAAGCGGACCUCAUAAAGUAUGUCGUAGUCCGGAUUGGAGUCUGCAACUCGACUCCAUGAAGUCGGAAUCGCUAGUAAUCGUAGAUCAGAAUGAGCCGGUGAAGGUUUGCCGGGCUUUCUCACGCCGACCGUCACUCCGUGAGUUGGAGCUAGCUAGAUAGUGUCCACCCACCCUAAU
rnacentral:rRNA from 1 species